GAAGAUACAGCUCAAGUGGCAGAGCACAUGCUUAGCAUGCACAAGGUGCUGGGUUCAAUCCCCAGUACCUCCU
rfam:Camelus ferus unplaced genomic scaffold scaffold340, whole genome shotgun sequence.